UAAACAAAGUUAGUGCCUUGGCUGUUUUUCAUAACCUCUCGAUCUCCUCUCAAGACGCCCAACACUCACAGCUCCCCAUAAUCUCUGUCCUCUCUCACGUUCUACACUCUCUCUCUCUCUCUUCAGAUCGCUCCUCUCCCUGUCUCACUCUCAGUCUUCUCUCACUCUCUUCUUCAUCCAACUCUUUCUUUACCCAGAAAUCAGAGUCUUCCGCUCUCUUUCAUUCUGAAAUCCCAAAUAGGGAAACCUUAAUCUCAGAUUCCCUGAAAUCAACCAAAUCUCUAUUGGUCGAACCCUCAAUUUGAAACCCAAAUUUCAUUGACCUAACUCUCGUCUCCACAAUUAGCCGGAUUUACACCGCACAGCAACUUGAUGAAGAACAAGCAGCGCCGCCGGUCAUCCUUCGAUGGCAAGAUUUGGGCGAGUUGCCAGAAAACGAGCUGAUUAUUGAGGCUCUCGAAAAGGCGAGAACGGGCGGUGGAAGAUGGUUUGCAGAAGAUUGCUCAAGAACAGCCGUGAAUCUAGGGUUUUGUAGAAGAAUACCCGAUAUCCACUGCUAGUUCCAGGUGAACUCUCGGCGAGAUUGCACAAUUUCAAGAACUCCCGCUGCUUAUUUCUGGGUCCUGCGUGAAAAAGGGUUACAUGAAAGACGAUUAUGUCCAUUUAUUUGUGAGAAGACCUGUUAGAAGAUCACCCAUUAUUAACCGCGGUUACUAUGCCCGCUGGGCUACGCUUCGCAAGCUUAUGAAUCAGUUUCUUGAUACUGAAGUCGGCGAAAAGGGUGGGUUGAAGAAGCAGAUACUAUCAUAACUUCAUACAUGCAUGAAUAAUGACAUACAAUGGCCUUGAAAAUUGCAUUCUGAAUGUACAAUCUUUCGAGAAUGAGAGCGGAACAAGUAGAGGAGAUGGGUUUGCAACUGACUCACUAGAUGAUGAUGCUUCCACAUGUUCUUCUGGCAAAGAUGCUUUUGGGUUAUAAUGCGUGGAAGUAUACAGAUGUGGAGGCAAUGAAAGAAAAGUUUACAAAGCUGCUAUUGGGUGAAGAUAUUACAGGAGGGUACAAGGGCCUCAGCACUGCUUUAGCAUUGUCAAAUGCCAUCACAAAUCUAGCAGCAACGGUUUUUGGAGAGCUGUGGAAACUGGAACCACUAUCUGAAGAGAGGAAAACAAAAUGGCAAAGAGAAAUGGACUGGUUACUCUCCCCUACCAACUAUAUGGUUGAGCUAGUUCCUUCCAGGCAAAAUGGUGCUAAUGGCCGGACAGUAGAGAUUAUGACUCCGAAAGCUCGUGCAGACAUACACAUCAAUCUUCCAGCACUUAAGAAGUUGGACUCGAUGCUUAUUGAAACACUUGAUUCAAUGGUGGAUACUGAGUUUGGGUAUGUAGAAGGUGGUAGCAGGGCAGAAGGACGAAACAGAACUCCAGGUCAGAGCAAGAGAUGGUGGCUCCCAUCACCUCAGGUACCAGCUACUGGACUCUCUGAUACAGCAAAGAAUAAGUUACUUAAACAGAGUAAGGUGGUACAUCAAGUAUUCAAGGCUGCCAAAACCAUCAACGAAAGUGUUCUUCUUGAAAUGCAUGUGCCAACCAUUAUCAGGGAUGCACUUCCCAAGAUGAUGGUCGCAUUCUCCUCGCUUUUCUCUAGUUUGGUUCAACUAUUUAGAUGUAGCUGUCAUUUGCAAUUCUGGAACACAGAAAGUUGUUAAGAACUGGUCCCUAUCUCAUUCUUAAGCAGCCUUGAAAUAAUUCAAUGCUGAAAAUGCUUUCUUGGGGAUCCUCUUCAACAAGGUUCUAGACUGGCUUUUUUGGUUGAGGUGUCUUUGGUUGGACAUUUGGACAGAAAUUGCAAACCACUCGCUUCAACUUUAAAGGCUUGACACCAUGGCUGCACAAACUAAGUUCCUGGAAUAGUGGGAAGACAAGAGUUUGUAUCAAUAUGUUGGCUAUUGAAACCAAGUUCCUGCACAAACUCUAUAUGUGGCAUGUUUUACGUAGUUGUAUAAGCUUUUGGGAAAUGCUUUUAACAUUAAGAGAUAUAUGAAAUGGGUUUGAUUACUCAUUUGAGCA